AUUAACUUUUUAUUGAAAUGAAAUUUUAUAGAUAAAAAAUAUUAUAUAAAAAAUAUAAAUUAUCUUACUUACCUUGCCAUACUUUCUUAUCUGUUCCUCGUCUUGAAUAAGAGCCCUUUUAAGUGCGGUUUGUUUUGCCAUUUGCUUUUGCCGCUUAAGUGUGUUACGGCAUUUGGGGCAAUGACAGUAAAUAAAGUCGCAGUACCUCUUGUGACCCUUAAGAAUGCUAGUAACAUCAUGAUUACGGCAACGUGUGCACGUCGGUUUCGUACGUGAAUUGGUGCCGCUGUUCGAGGUUGAGGAUGCGUCCCAAGAUGCAUUUGAAUCCGCCCCUGAAUUUAAUUUCAUUGACAUUAAUUUCAUUGUCGACUUUGUUUCUAUCAAUAUUAACUUAUUCUAUAUAAUUUUACGCAGAUGAAAAAUGAAUAUUACACGUUUCUCUAUGCAUACAAUCUAUAUAAAGACUCAAAGAUGAUCGAAAUAAAUUAAAGAAAUAAGCUGAUUGAAUGUGGAAAAAAUGAGGAAAGAACGAAGUCAAGUCCAUAUUUGAAUGAGAACAAACAAGACGGCCGUUGUUCAUCGAAUAAUGAUGAUCUUUCAGUUGAGAUCGACCAACGUUACAGGAUAUUUUCUAUAUGGCAAUUCACCAAAGAUAUCAAGUGUUUAUAAAAUGGGCAUUUCGACGAUUUUCAAACGUUAUUGUUAAAUAUAUAUCCAUAAAAUCGAUAAAAUUAUCUUCGUUGUUAUAUUUACAACAAGACAAAUAAUAAUUAUCGAUAAGAUAAUAUUGUAAUUAAUCAAAAAUGUUUCCGGCUAUAUGUCCAUUUACCGAGCAUAUUAAAACGUGAAGAAUCUUACGAGCAACAAUUAUUUUCCUCAGGCGGAAUGCAGGACGAAACGCAAAAAAAAAAAAAAAACAAAAUGAACGAGAAAGAAAAAGAACGAAAUAGAAGACCGAGAAACAAAGAUGAAUGGUCUUUAUAAGUCUAACAACAUUCUACUACUAUCUUUAUAAAUCGUAACGCCGACAAAAAAAGAAAUAUAAAAGAAAGAAAAUGAAAGAGAUAAGAAGGAAAAUAAGGACAGAAGAUAUUAAUCGAAACGAGAAGUCGUCUCUGUCAUUAUUUAUCAUUCCUAUCCGCGAAUGGAAACGAGAAAAGGAAAAUGUUGCAUGAAAAAUAGAGAAAAAUGAAGAGAAUUGAAAAAGAUAGGUUGAGAAAGAGAGAUAAGUUGUCGAUAUAAAAAUGUUCCCUUAAUUCUAUUUUUCAAUUUCUUUUUUUUCAACUUUUGGAUUUAUUUUCUUUUUUUCGAAUUUCUUUCUCUAUAUUAAAUACUAAAUAUAUUCCUAAGUUGUUAAUCAAAUAAUCAAAUGUUUGAUGCCAACGAAAGAAUUGAUUUAACUUAAUUGAAAGUUUCUUUAAUUUGGAACACGUGAAAAAUUUUCGUGAACUAACGCAUCUAUGUGUUCAUAACUUGUCUCGACAUUUCUAUCAUUAAAAGUUUACUAAUAAUUUUUCCUAAUAGAGCCUAAUUGACGGUACGAGCGUGUAUUUGACAGAAAAAAAAAAAAAAUGUAAAAAUAUAAUAUAAUUAAAAAUUUAUAUGUAAUUACAUACGCAUGAACGAAUAGACUCUUCUGAAAAGUUGUAAUUCUCCUAUUGCCCUGACAUAUACUUAUUUAAUUACAUAUUAACAUUCACCGACAUGUGGUUAAAUUUAUGUUCAACAAACCGUACAUGUCGCUAGCAAUUUUACUACGAUAGAAAAUAGUUAUAGGGAAUGUACAUAAAAUCAAUGUACAAAAAUGAUUUCCUUGGAAAAUACUUAGAUCGCUAUAGUGAUCAGUUCUUAUCUGAGAAUAAUCAUUAAUAAUUUGUAAAAUAAUCAUUAAUAUAGCCGUUUAACUUUAAUCAUCGGUAUAACUGUAUCCAAAGACCAUUAAAUUUUUAUCUCGUUAAUCAUCGA